GACGAACGCUGGCGGCGUGCUUAACACAUGCAAGUCGAACGGAAAGGCCCUGCUUUUGUGGGGUGCUCGAGUGGCGAACGGGUGAGUAACACGUGAGUAACCUGCCCUUGACUUUGGGAUAACUUCAGGAAACUGGGGCUAAUACCGGAUAGGAGCUCCUGCUGCAUUGUGGGGGUUGGAAAGUUUCGGCGGUUGGGGAUGGACUCGCGGCUUAUCAGCUUGUUGGUGGGGUAGUGGCUUACCAAGGCUUUGACGGGUAGCCGGCCUGAGGGGGUGACCGGCCACAUUGGGACUGAGAUACGGCCCAGACUCCUACGGGAGGCAGCAGUGGGGAAUAUUGCACAAUGGGCGGAAGCCUGAUGCAGAAACGCCGCGUGCGGGAUGACGGCCUUCGGGUUGUAAACCGCUUUCGCCUGUGACGAAGCGGGAGUGACGGUAAUGGGUAAAGAAGCACCGGCUAACUACGUG
rnacentral:rRNA from 1 species